GACGAACGCUGGCGGCGUGCUUAACACAUGCAAGUCGAGCGGUAAGGCCCUUUCGGGGGUACACGAGCGGCGAACGGGUGAGUAACACGUGGGUGACCUGCCUCUAGCUCUGGGAUAAGCCUGGGAAGCUGGGUCUAAUACCGGAUAUGACCUCGCGGUGCAUGUUGCGGGGUGGAAAGCCUUGUGCGGCUAGGGGAUGGGCCCGCGGCCUAUCAGCUUGUUGGUGGGGGUGAUGGCCUACCAAGGCGACGACGGGUAGCCGGCCUGAGAGGGCGACCGGCCACACUGGGACUGAGACACGGCCCAGACUCCUACGGGAGGCAGCAGUGGGGAAUCUUGCGCAAUGGGCGAAAGCCUGACGCAGCGACGCCGCGUGAGGGAUGACGGCCU
rnacentral:rRNA from 1 species